rnacentral:rRNA from 1 species
UCAGUAACGGCGAGUGAAGCGGGAAGAGCUCAUUCUGUGAAUCUGUAUGCUCUUUUGGUAUACCGAGUUGUAGAAUAUAGAAGCACAUCAGUGCGAAUUCCGGUCUAAGUCUCUUGGAAAAGAGCAGCUAAGAGGGUGAGACUCCCGUUCUUGGCUGGAAUUCAAACUUUAGCAUGUGGUUUCGACGAGUCGAGUUGCUUGGGAUUGCAGCUCAAAGUUGGUGGUAAAUUCCAUCUAAAGCUAAAUAUCGGUGGGAGACCGAUAGCGUACAAGUACCGUGAGGGAAAGAUGCAAAGAACUUUGAAAAAAGAGUUAAAGAGUACCUGAAAUUGCUGAAAUGGAAGCGAAGGAAACCAGUGCCGUUCUGUAUCAUUCUUCCGUCCUUGCUUGCGAGGGUGGCGCUGUGAUUCAGGAUAGGCCAGCGUGGGUUUGAGCCGAAGGAAGCAGCUCUUCAGGAGGCAGCGCAAUUUCUGUGCGAUUACUGUUGAGCUUUGCUUCGGCUUGGACUGAGGCUAGUCACUUGUGCUCGUGACGCUGGCGAAAUGGUUUUCUUUACCCCGUCUUGAAACACGGACCAAGGAGUCUAACAUAUGUGCGAGUAUAUGAGUGACAAACUCACAUGCGAAAUGAAAGUAACAGUGGUUGGACCUUCUGGGCACAAUCCGCCGGCCACAAUCCUUCGGGAGAAAGGUCUGAGUGUGAGCAU